rnacentral:rRNA from 1 species
CCUACGGGAGGGCAGCAGUGGGGAAGUAUUGGACAAUGGGCGCAAGCCUGAUCCAGCAAUACCGCGUGUGUGAAGAAGGCCUUCGGGUUGUAAAGCACUUUAAGCAGGGAAGAAAAAACUCAAACUAAUAUUUUGAGUCUUGACGGUACCUGAAGAAUAAGCACCGGCUAACUCUGUGCCAGCAGCCGCGGUAAUACAGAGGGUGCAAGCGUUAAUCGGAUUUACUGGGCGUAAAGCGUGUGUAGGUGGUUGGGAAAGUCAAUUGUGAAAUCCCCGGGCUUAACUCGGGAACUGCUUUUGAUACUGUCUGACUAGAAUUCGGUAGAGGGAGGCGGAACUCCAGGUGUAGCGGUGAAAUGCGUAGAUAUCUGGAAGAACACCAAUGGCGAAGGCAACCUCCUGGGCCUGAAUUGACACUGAGACACGAAAGCGUGGGGAUCAAACAGGAUUAGACUACCCUGGUAGUCCACGCCGUAAACGAUGACAACUUGACGUCGGUUUGCUCUGACGAAUCGGUGUCGUAAGCUAACGCGAUAAGUUGUCCGCCUGGGGAAGUCGGCCCGANAAGGUUAGAAACUCGAAAGAGUAGUACCGGCGNGNGAGACGCGACGACGACGACGACGGAGGAGGAGG